GGGGAGCGAUAACUGCUUAGAUACCGGGGUUAUCCACGCUGAAGACCGCCGGUACUAGGUGGGGGGUCGAUUCCACGGGCUCCGCGCCGUUGGACUCGCUUUAAUAUCCCCUUGUGGGGAGUACAGCCGCUUGGCUAAGCUUUAAAUGAAUUGCCGGAUUCACUGUGACCUCCCACCAAUGGGACUGAGAUACGGCCCAGACUCCUACGGGAGGCAGCAGUGGGGAAUAUUGCACAAUGGGCGGAAGCCUGAUGCAGCAACGCCGCGUGCGGGAUGACGGCCUUCGGGUUGUAAACCGCUUUCGCCUGUGACGAAGCGUGAGUGACGGUAAUGGGUAAAGAAGCACCGGCUAACUACGUGCCAGCAGCCGCGGUGAUACGUAGGGUGCGAGCGUUGUCCGGAUUUAUUGGGCGUAAAGGGCUCGUAGGUGGUUGAUCGCGUCGGAAGUGUAAUCUUGGGGCUUAACCCUGAGCGUGCUUU
rnacentral:rRNA from 1 species